AUGCAAAUAAGGUGGUGCAGUAUUCUAGUCGGCAAAGCUGGUUCUCAAAACGGGGAUAAAAGACCGUAGAAGGGCAUAUCGAUGAAGUUCCUGGUGGUGGCUUCGGACGCCCAGUCGGGGGUUGCUGCUGGGGGAUAAGGAAGAAGGGCGAUCUGCAAUGGCAUGCAGGCGAUGACCCAGCUUCCGCGGAGACCCAAACGGGUGUGAAACAUCGCGUGAUCACUCCUUGGGGUAAAACCUGUGAUGCGGUAAUAAUAACUGUGUACAGCGUAGCCUGCCUUGCGUGGCGCGGGGGGAUUUCAGGAAUACGUGCCCGGAUGCACAGGGCCCGUGCAUCGGACAUGAUCGCCGGAUGAAACCUGAGCUGCAAAAGAGGCUAGGAACCAGUGGCGUUGUUGAGGAAAGCUCCUAGACUGUCAACAGGCAAUUUGGGGAUUAUAGUGUGGACUUAGUGGUAAUCUAGUCCCGCCGCGUGGCGACACGGCGGCGUCUGCUUUCAAGGGAAACCGCUCUUUUCGGCGACGGGGAGUAGCAGACGGGGAAAACCUACUAGACCUGAAGCCGCAAGGUUUACUCAUUUUGCCACCACCUUUUUUUAUUU
rnacentral:sRNA from 1 species